rnacentral:rRNA from 1 species
CGGCGGACGGGUGAGUAAUGCUUAGGAAUCUGCCUAUUAGUGGGGGACAACAUUCCGAAAGGAAUGCUAAUACCGCAUACGCCCUACGGGGGAAAGCAGGGGAUCUUCGGACCUUGCGCUAAUAGAUGAGCCUAAGUCAGAUUAGCUAGUUGGUGGGGUAAAGGCCUACCAAGGCGACGAUCUGUAGCUGGUUUGAGAGGACGACCAGCCACACUGGGACUGAGACACGGCCCAGACUCCUACGGGAGGCAGCAGUGGGGAAUUUUGGACAAUGGGGGAAACCCUGAUCCAGCCAUUCCGCGUGUGCGAUGAAGGCCUUCGGGUUGUAAAGCACUUUUGGCAGGAAAGAAAUCGCAUCAAUUAAUACUUGGUGUGGAUGACGGUACCUGCAGAAUAAGCACCGGCUAACUACUUGCCAGCAGCCGCGGUAAUACGUAGGGUGCAAGCGUUAAUCGGAAUUACUGGGCGUAAAGCGUGCGCAGGCGGUUCGGAAAGAGAGGUGUGAAAUCCCAGGGC